GGGCGCUUGGCGCAGCUGGUAGCGCGUUCGCUUCGCAGUAAUGUGCGAAAGGUCGUUGGUUCAAAUCCUACAGCGUCCA